rnacentral:rRNA from 1 species
AUUGAACGCUGGCGGCAGGCCUAACACAUGCAAGUCGAGCGGAGCGGCUGACGGGUGAGUAAUGCCUAGGAAUGUGCCUGGUAGCGGGGGAUAACGUCCGGAAACGGGCGCUAAUACAACAUACUAUCAGAUGAGCCUAGGUCGGGUUAGCUAGUUGGUGGGGUAAAGGCCUACAAAGGCGACGAUCAGUACCUGGUCUGAGAGGAUGAUCAGUAACACUGGAACUGAGACACGGUCCAGACUCCUACGGGAGGAAGCAGUGGGGAAUAUUGGACAAUGGGGGAAAGCCUGAUCCAGCCAUGCCGCGUGUGUGAAGAAGUUCUUCGGAUUGUAAAGCACUUUAAGUUGGGAGGCGUUACCAACAGAAUAAGCACCGGCUAACUUCGUGCCAGCAGCCGCGGUAAUUC